UACGAAGGGGGCUAGCGUUGCUCGGAUUGACUGGGCGUAAAGGGCGCGUAGGCGGUUCGUACAGUCAGACGUGAAAUUCCUGGGCUCAACCUGGGGGCUGCGUUUGAUACGUGCGGACUUGAGUGCGGAAGAGGGUCGUGGAAUUCCCAGUGUAGAGGUGAAAUUCGUAGAUAUUGGGAAGAACACCGGUGGCGAAGGCGGCGACCUGGUCCGAUACUGACGCUGAGGCGCGAAAGCGUGGGGAGCAAACCGG
rnacentral:rRNA from 1 species